UACGUAGGGGGCAAGCGUUGUCCGGAAUCAUUGGGCGUAAAGCGCGUGUAGGCGGUCCGGUAAGUCCGCUGUGAAAGUCGGGGGCUCAACCCUCGAAUGCCGGUGGAUACUGUCGGGCUCGAGUGCGGGAGAGGCGAGUGGAAUUCCUGGUGUAGCGGUGAAAUGCGCAGAUAUCAGGAGGAACACCGAUUGCGAAGGCAGCUCGCUGGAACGUUACUGACGCUGAGACGCGAAAGCGUGGGGAGCAAACAGG
rnacentral:rRNA from 1 species